UACGUAGGUGGCAAGCGUUGUUCGGAAUUACUGGGUGUAAAGGGUUCGUAGGCGGCGCAGAAAGUAGGGUGUGAAAGCCCUCGGCUCAACCGAGGAAUUGCGCCCUAAACUACUGUGCUUGAGGGACCUAGAGGUGAGCAGAACUGAUGGUGGAGCGGUGAAAUGCGUUGAUAUCGUAAGGAAGACCAGUGGCGAAGGCGGGUCUCUGGACAGUUCCUGACGCUGAGGCACGAAGGUCAGGGGAGCAAACGGG
rnacentral:rRNA from 1 species